rnacentral:lncRNA from 1 species
GUGGCCAUUGCUCUAAUUACAUGUUGUAGUCCUUCAGCUCACAGUUAUUUGCUCUGAAGAGCUGUGAACUGAGUCCAGUGGGGCUGGUGGGGCAGACGACUGGCCAAAGGAUUGGCCUUGGCAAGUCAGCAUCCCUCCCCUUCCAGGAGGUCCUGGAGCUAAUCAGUCAUGAUGGAGGCAGAGGGCCCCAGCUCCAGGCACUUUAGGGACCUGACAGAGUAUGUGCCAGUUCAAGUUGCCUAGCUGUCUCUCCUCCACCCUACACAACCCGAGCAGAGAGAAUGGCUUACAGGAAAUCAAAAUUCAGCCUGCAGAUGGAUUUCAUUCAAGGUGCAACCAGGAAAACACUACUCUUGGCAUUUUAAAUGAGGGACUUGAAGGCAAGGAAUUGGUUAUACUGGUAAAGAAAGAGCUAAAAAGCCAACAGGGGUGAUGGCACCACCCAGAGGUCAGCAGGCUCUCUUAGACUAAAGGGACGAAGUAGGGAGGGGGUGUUAUCAGCAUCCAGGGAGCCAAGCCACUCAUAUGGAGAGGAAGCAAGUCAGCGAUUACAAAUUCAGAUCCCUGGUUCCAACCCCAACCCACAGAACUGGAACCUCCAGGAAAAAAGGUCUGGAAAUCUGCAUUUUAGCAGGGUUUCUUGGCAUGUCUCGUCAUUGGCUAAGUAUGGAAAAAUCCUCUUCUGAAAUAAUCAAACAAAAGCAAAAUAAAAAUCCCAAAAUAUAAAACCUGAUCCAGUGGACUUGAGAUCAGACACUAGUUGUGUCAUGAAUCACUCGUUAAUAAUCUUAAGCAUUUUAUUGAAUCCCUUUGGGCCUCAGUCUCAUCUAUAGAAUAGUAGUAAUGAUAAUGGCAGCUACAUCGCGGGGGUUGCUAAAAAUGGAAAGAACAUGUGUACAUGAACUCCAAGUAUGGCAGAGCUGCUAGGAGGCAGAUCUGGGACUUGAACCUGGAACGUCCAGUCCAUGUCCGCUGUGAGCUUGCCAUUGAAACUUGUCUUCUUUUUGACUUCCCAAGAAUUCUUUAAUCACAGGAAUUCUUAAGAGCUAGGUUUCUUCAAAGAAUUGUAAGUCUGAUUCUACUCACAAAGCUGUAACACAUACACACUUACCAGAAAGUACUUAGUGAACAGAGCAGAGUGUUACUUGUCACCUUGGUGACAUUUUCCACCUAGAACCAUCCACUCACCUCCCUACCCACUGACCCCUAACAGAUCCACUUCAUAAACUCCCAGUCAUUCUCUACUCAUCACACCAGAGGAGAUAUGACCGACUCUGGAAAGGUUCUUCUGUCUUCCUCUCUCCAGACACAAUCAUGGCUAUUAUUAUUCCGAGGUACCCCAGCUAUUAUUUUUACAGCACUCAUUAUAUUAAGACCAAAGUAGUAAGUGACAGCACUGGGUUUGAGCCCAGCCCUUUGAUUUCAAAGCUCAUGUGGCAUAGAGCCAUCACUUACACUCUUUCUCUUCUCUCUCUCCAGUUCCCUUCCAGAGUUGCCCUAACCAUUCUGGAUGGGAUAAAGGAAGGAAAGCUUAUUUCCUCCACUGAGCUGUGACUCCUUCUAAUCAUCCUUCCAAAGCAGAACCCCAUGUUCCGUUCAUUCUUGUGUCCUGAAGUCUAGCGCAAGGCACAAUUUAUUAUAGAACAGAGGUUCUCGGAGUAUGGUCCCAGAUCAGCAACAGCAGCAUCACCUGGAAAUGUGUUAGAAAUACCAUUCUUAGAAAUCUGAGAGUGGGAUCCCACAAUCUUUAUUUUAACAAGCUCUCCAGGUGAUUGCUGCAGUCAAGUCUGAGAGACUGUCACUGUAGGAGGUACCCCCUCCUAUCUGCUCUUCAAAACACAGAUUUUUCAGCCCUCUGGGUACUCUUAGCAUGCACUGCUUAAGCAGCUUUGUAACAUCUGUCUUGUUAUCACUGUCUGAGUCUCCCUCUGAUUGAUUUCUUAGUGCAAGGGUUUGAUCUAGUAAAAUACGUAACUAGCUAGCACCUUAUUCAGUGCCUGACCCACACUCACAGCAACGCCAGAUCCUUAACUCACUGAGCAAGGCCAGGGAUCGAACCCGCAACCUCAUGCAGUUGAGAGUCUGAGAAAACCGAACAGCUACUGUCCACAAGGCGGAUAGCAGAAAAGAGCAGCCCGGAAGGAAUUCUGGGGAUCUGAAGAGGAUCUCCUCGAGUUCAGCUGAGUACUCAUCAGCUCAUGUGUGUGAGGAAACUAUGAAAGCCCAAGGAAAGAACUCCCCAAAAGGAUCAGAGGUGACAUUACUCAGCAGUCACACAAGGCUGGAAUCACGCCUGUCUUACCAGUGGGAUGGGAGAAUGUCAUCAUUUACAAGACAUUGGGUAGAGUACGCAAAAGACUUCCCCUCAGCAGAGGGACAGAAUUCACCCUGGGUGGAACACCACCCAGUCCUGCCCGAAACCUUAAAUGCAACACCUGAAAAGAUCCAAUGGUUUCCAAAUAGCUCUAUCCGAGAAAAAAUGCCAAAGGUGUUUUUAGUGAUAUGAAAAUAUGCAGCUCUCAAGAAGGUAGAAUUCAAAAUGUCUAGCACCUAUUCUAUUGAAAACUUACCAGGCAUACAAAGAAGUAGGAAAAUAAGAUGCUUUUUUUUUUUUUUUUUUUUGGCCACACUUGUGGCAUGCGGGAGUUCCCAGGCCCGCAAUCAAACCCACGCCACUGCCAUAACCAGAUUCACAGUAGUGACAACACUGGAUCCUUAACCCACUGAGCUAUGCGGAAACUCCCUGAAAAUAGGAUUCUUGAUGAAGAGAAAAGCCAGUCAACUGAAACUUACCCAGAACUGACCAAGAUAUUAUAAUUAGCCAGCAGGGUCAUUAAAACAAUAUAACUUUAUUCCAUAUGUUCACAAAGUUGAAGACAUGGAAGAUGUGAAAAAGGAUUCAAAUCAGACUCUUGGAGAUGAAAACUACAAUGUGAGAAAUGAAAAACACACUGAAUGAGAUUAUAGCAAAUAAAACCUAGUAAUAGAAACUCUCCACAAUGAAACAAAGAAAAGGAUGCUUUAAAAAAAAAAAAAAAAAA